GUUCUUGUAGCUCAGAUAGUUAAAGCGUUGGUCAUAUGAGCCGAAAGUUGCGGGUUCGAGCCCCGCUAAAACCA
rnacentral:tRNA from 1 species